AAUCAACGCUGGCGGCGUGCCUCAGACAUGCAAGUCGAACGAUUAAGACUCUCUUCGGAGAGUGUAUAAAGUGGCGCACGGGUGAGUAACACGUAGGUAAUGUACCGAAGGGUGGGGAAUAACUUAGGGAAACUUAAGCUAAUACCGCAUAAUGCAGCGGCUCGACAUCGAGACAGUUGUUAAAGGAGCAAUCCGCCUUUUGAGCAGCCUGCGGCAGAUUAGCUAGUUGGUAAGGUAAUGGCUUACCAAGGCUACGAUCUGUAACCGACCUGAGAGGGUGGUCGGUCACACUGACACUGAAUAACGGGUCAGACUCCUACGGAGGCAGCAGUCGGGAAUUUUGGGGCAAUGGGCGAAAGCCUGACCCAGCAACGCCGCGUGAAGGAUGAAGUAUUUCGGUAUGUAAACUUCGUAAGAAUAGGAAGAAUAAAUGACGGUACUAUUUGUAAGGUCCGGCUAACUACGUGCCAGCAGCCGCGGUAAU
rnacentral:rRNA from 1 species